CGUGGAGACAGGUGGUGCAUGGCUGUCGUCAGCUCGUGUCGUGAGAUGUUGGGUUAAGUCCCGCAACGAGCGCAACCCUCACCCCUAGUUGCCACCGGGUAAAGCCGAGCACUCGAGGGGAACUGCCAGCGUCAAGCUGGAGGAAGGCGGGGAUGACGUCAAGUCGUCAUGCCCCUUACGCCCUGGGCUACACACGUGCUACAAUGGCCAGUACAAAGGGACGCGAGACCGCGAGGUGGAGCUAAUCCCAAAAAACUGGCCUAAGUUCAGAUUGCAGUCUGCAACUCGACUGCAUGAAGGAGGAAUCGCUAGUAAUCGCGCAUCAGCCCGGCGCGGUGAAUACGUUCCCGGGCCUUGUACACACCGCCCGUCACACCACGAAAGCUGUCUGUACUCGAAGUCGCUGAG
rnacentral:rRNA from 1 species